rnacentral:rRNA from 1 species
GAUGAACGCUGGCGGCGUGCCUAAUACAUGCAAGUCGAGCGAACAGAUAAGGAGCUUGCUCCUUUGACGUUAGCGGCGGACGGGUGAGUAACACGUGGGUAACCUACCUAUAAGACUGGGAUAACUUCGGGAAACCGGAGCUAAUACCGGAUAAUAUUUCGAACCGCAUGGUUCGAUAGUGAAAGAUGGUUUUGCUAUCACUUAUAGAUGGACCCGCGCCGUAUUAGCUAGUUGGUAAGGUAACGGCUUACCAAGGCGACGAUACGUAGCCGACCUGAGAGGGUGAUCGGCCGCACUGGAACUGAGACACGGUCCAGACUCCUACGGGAGGCAGCAGUAGGGAAUCUUCCGCAAUGGGCGAAAGCCUGACGGAGCAACGCCGCGUGAGUGAUGAAGGUCUUCGGAUCGUAAGACUCUGUUAUUAGGGAAGAACAUACGUGUAAGUAACUGUGCACGUCUUGACGGUACCUAAUCAGAAAGCCACGGCUAACUACGUG